rnacentral:rRNA from 1 species
AUGAACGCUAGCGACAGGCUUAACACAUGCAAGUCGAGGGGCAGCAUGAUUUGUAGCAAUACAGAUUGAUGGCGACCGGCGCACGGGUGAGUAACGCGUAUGCAACUUACCUAUCAGAGGGGGAUAGCCCGGCGAAAGUCGGAUUAAUACCCCAUAAAACAGGGGUCCCGCAUGGGAAUAUUUGUUAAAGAUUCAUCGCUGAUAGAUAGGCAUGCGUUCCAUUAGGCAGUUGGCGGGGUAACGGCCCACCAAACCGACGAUGGAUAGGGGUUCUGAGAGGAAGGUCCCCCACAUUGGUACUGAGACACGGACCAAACUCCUACGGGAGGCAGCAGUGAGGAAUAUUGGUCAAUGGCCGAGAGGCUGAACCAGCCAAGUCGCGUGAAGGAAGAAGGAUCUAUGGUUUGUAAACUUCUUUUAUAGGGGAAUAAAGUGGAGGACGUGUCCUUUUUUGUAUGUACCCUAUGAAUAAGCAUCGGCUAACUCCGUGCCAGCAGCCGCGGUAAUACGGAGGAUGCGAGCGUUAUCCGGAUUUAUUGGGUUUAAAGGGUGCGUAGGUGGUGAUUUAAGUCAGCGGUGAAAGUUUGUGGCUCAACCAUAAAAUUGCCGUUGAAACUGGGUUACUUGAGUGUGUUUGAGGUAGGCGGAAUGCGUGGUGUAGCGGUGAAAUGCAUAGAUAUCACGCAGAACUCCGAUUGCGAAGGCAGCUUACUAAACCAUAACUGACACUGAAGCACGAAAGCGUGGGGAUCAAACAGGAUUAGAUACCCGGGUAGUCCACGCAGUAAACGAUGAUUACUAGGAGUUUGCGAUACAAUGUAAGCUCUACAGCGAAAGCGUUAAGUAAUCCACCUGGGGAGUACGCCGGCAACGGUGAAACUCAAAGGAAUUGACGGGGGCCCGCACAAGCGGAGGAACAUGUGGUUUAAUUCGAUGAUACGCGAGGAACCUUACCCGGGUUUGAACGUAGUCUGACCGGAGUGGAAACACUCUUUCUAGCAAUAGCAGAUUACGAGGUGCUGCAUGGUUGUCGUCAGCUCGUGCCGUGAGGUGUCGGCUUAAGUGCCAUAACGAGCGCAACCCUUAUCACUAGUUACUAACAGGUGAAGCUGAGGACUCUGGUGAGACUGCCAGCGUAAGCUGUGAGGAAGGUGGGGAUGACGUCAAAUCAGCACGGCCCUUACAUCCGGGGCGACACACGUGUUACAAUGGCAUGGACAAAGGGCAGCUACCUGGUGACAGGAUGCUAAUCUCCAAACCAUGUCUCAGUUCGGAUCGGAGUCUGCAACUCGACUCCGUGAAGCUGGAUUCGCUAGUAAUCGCGCAUCAGCCAUGGCGCGGUGAAUACGUUCCCGGGCCUUGUACACACCGCCCGUCAAGCCAUGGGAGCCGGGGGUACCUGAAGUCCGUAACCGCAAGGAUCGGCCUAGGGUAAAACUGGUGACUGGGGCU